GAAAAGGAUACCUUGCUCAAAGUAACUGGAGGGGAAGAUGGAAUAGGAGCGUGAGCAGCUUUCUUCUUCCUCUAUUCUUCUUCAAACACAUGGGUGGAUUUUCUUCUUUGAGGGAGAUUCAUCCUCCGCACCAUAGGGAGGGCAAUGGAGAGCAAGUCUCGGCCAAAGAGAGUGAGAGGAACUAAGUUCUAAAGAAGGGAAGGUGGGAGAAGAAGCUUUGAGGUGGAGAAGAAGAAGAAAUGGA
rnacentral:lncRNA from 1 species